CAAGCCAGAAUCGGGUAAAACUGUUUUGAGUUUAUCAGAUUGGAGUUGAGAAGAUUCUUCUUUGACGGUAGAUUCAGAUUGAAGUUGUUUUUGUUGAGAAGGUGUUCGGUUGGGAGAUAAAUGGUGGGUGGUGUUGAGAGGAAAUGAUGGUAGAUGUAAUGGAGGUUUGGAUGAUAAUGAUGAUAGAUUUAAGGAAGGAAAAUUUAUCAGUUUUGAU
rnacentral:lncRNA from 1 species